rnacentral:rRNA from 1 species
CCUGUGCACGAUGAUCUAAUUCAUGCUAAAUGUUUAUUUCUUAUGGAUCAGCAUUUAGAAGAGGCUCUUGUUCCAUUGUCAAAAGAGAGAGAAAGCUUGUUGCAAGAGCAUAAAGCUUUGAAGGAAAGGCUUGAUCAGGAGUAUGAUCAGCUGGCUGAAAGAAAAAGGGGAUUCCAGCAAGAAAUAGAUGCACUUGGAACCCUUAACACACGCAUCAAAGAGUACCUGGAUGCAAAGAAAGUAGAGAAGCUUAAUGAACUGCAGGAAAGGCAUACCCUAUCCCUGUCUCAGUUACAGAAAUGUGAGGCAAGAAAGCAAGACAUCUCGGUUGAGCUUGACAAGAGCAAACAGCUAUUGCGGAGCCAAGAUCAAUUGAAAAGAAACAUCGAUGACAAUCUGAACUACAGGAAAACAAAGGCUGAAGUGGAUCGACUUGCUCAUGAUAUCGAGUUACUUGAAGAAAAUGUGCUUUCUAUCGGCAGCAAAUCCACUAUAGGAGCUGAUCAUAAGCGGCAUGCUCAAGAGAAGGAGAGGCUUCUUUCAGAGGGGAGUAGGUGUGAAGGAACAAUUCCUGUUUACCAAAGUAAUAUUUCAAAGCACAAACUUGAGCUUAAACAGACACAAUAUAAGGAUAUUGAGAAGAGAUAUUUUAACCAACUUCUCCAACUUAAGACAACUGAGAUGGCAAAUAAGGACUUGGACCGAUACUAUACUGCUUUGGAUAAGGCUCUUAUGCGGUUCCAUACCAUGAAAAUGGAGGAGAUAAAUAAAAUAAUAAAGGAACUGUGGCAGCAGACAUACAGAGGCCAAGAUAUUGAUUGCAUAAGCAUCAGUUCUGACUCUGAGGGUGCAGGCACUCGACCAUAUAGCUAUCGUGUUGUCAUGCAAAAUGGUGGUGCUGAGCUGGAAAUGCGAGGACGAUGCAGUGCUGGUCAGAAGGUUCUUGCUUCUCUCAUAAUCAGACUGGCACUGGCAGAGACAUUCUGUCUGAAUUGUGGCAUAUUAGCUCUGGAUGAGCCAACCACCAAUCUUGACGGGCCGAAUGCGGAGAGCCUAGCUGCUGCCCUAUUGAGAAUAAUGGAAAGCAGAAAAGGCCAGGAGAACUUCCAGCUGAUUGUAAUCACCCAUGAUGAGCGGUUUGUUCAGCUUAUUGGUCAGAGGCAGCUUGCCGAGAAGUACUACCGAGUUUCUAAGGAUGAGCAACAACACAGCAAAAUUGAAGCCCAGGAGAUAUUUGACUGA